GGUCUAUAAGGUUUGCAUGAAGUUGAAGAGAGUCAAGUUGCAGCCAAGGAUGACUUGCCGGACCAAAAGUUGUGACCAUUUUCUAGUUCCGGCAAGUUGUUUUUGGCUAUAAGUUUGCUCUCUUCUUCUCAUGUUAUCCUCGUUAGACC